GAGCGCCCCGCAAGGGGAGCGGCGCACGGGAGAGUAACGCGUGGGAACCUACCUUUUGGUUCGGAAUAACACCGGGAAACUGGUGCUAAUACCGGAUAAGCCCUUCGGGGGAAAGAUUUAUUGCCGAAAGAUGGGCCCGCGUUGGAUUAGCUAGUUGGUGAGGUAAUGGCUCACCAAGGCAACGAUCAGUAGCCGGUCUGAGAGGACGGUCGGCCACACUGGAACUGAGACACGGUCCAGACUCCUACGGGAGGCAGCAGUGGGGAAUUUUUCGCAAUGGGGGCAACCCUGACGAAGCAACGCCGCGUGGGUGAUGAAGUCUACUUGGGACGUAAAACCCUUUCGACGGGGAAGAAACCGCAAGGUUGACGGUACCCGUAGAAGAAGCCCCGGCUAACUCCGUG
rnacentral:rRNA from 1 species